rnacentral:rRNA from 1 species
UGGGGAAUUUUGGACAAUUGGGCGAAAGCCUGAUCCAGCAAUGCCGCGUGUGUGAAGAAGGCCUUCGGGUUGUAAAGCACUUUUGUCCGGAAAGAAAUCCUUGGCUCUAAUACAGUCGGGGGAUGACGGUACCGGAAGAAUAAGCACCGGCUAACUACGUGCCAGCAGCCGCGGUAAUACGUAGGGUGCAAGCGUUAAUCGGAAUUACUGGGCGUAAAGCGUGCGCAGGCGGUUUGCUAAGACCGAUGUGAAAUCCCCGGGCUCAACCUGGGAACUACAUUGGUGACUGGCAGGCUAGAGUAUGGCAGAGGGGGGUAGAAUUCCACGUGUAGCAGUGAAAUGCGUAGAGAUGUGGAGGAAUACCGAUGGCGAAGGCAGCCCCCUGGGCCAAUACUGACGCUCAUGCACGAAAGCGUGGGGGAGCAAAACAGGAUUUAGAUACCCCUGGUAGUCCACGCCCUAAANGAUGUCAACUAGUUGUUGGGGAUUCAUUUCCUUAGUAACGUAGCUAACGCGUGAAGUUGACCGCCUGGGGAGUACGGUCGCAAGAUUAAAACUCAAAUGAAUUG